AUGGAUAGUGUAAUGACCCUGGUGGUAGUUUGACCCUUCCUCUGUACGGUGAACCUAAAGAAACACUCAUUAGAACCCGGCUGCUCCCUUCUUUGACCUUUAGAAAUGGUUGAUGUCAGGAGCGAAAGUGUCUUAACUCUUUUUUUACAGGAGCAGUGAUUUGCGAACUUCUUCUCAUUAUUGCUUUCUUUUUUUGCCAUUGAGCUGUUUCCUUUUCUGUUAAAAAAAAAAAAAUCUUGGCUAGUCAUGCCCGGGAUAUCCCAUGAUCCUGGUACUAUCGAAGGUGCCAAUCCUUCUCGUCAAGCCAUUAUUCAGAGGUCACGUCUCGCAGCCAUAAAUAUAGGGAGCACAAUUAAGCGACCCUCAACAGUGAUACCAACAACGCCAUACACUUGUGCUGAGGGAGUCCUUAACACCGAUAAACAUUAGGGGUUGAAUAUGUGGCUCAAUCCUAGAUCUAAGGGUAAGAAUGAGAGCACAAUCAGAUAGCUUUUGUAUUAUGUCAUCAAUCUGUUUAUUUUUAUUUGCUCUUGUAUUUAAGGACUUGUGUCGAUCGAUAUUGUAUUUAUUCUGCAGUUCGACGUUUUAUUUCUUAUUCUUUGUUAUUUUAUUUAAGGAGUGGAUGACUUGUGUUCGAUGAUACUUUAUUAAUUUUUCAGUAACAUCUUCUGUUGUUGAUGUUAUUCAAUCUGUUCUUCUUCAAGGUUGAAAGCCACGUUCAUUUUCCCUCUUGAUGGUGAAAGGCGGAAGAACAAGUGAUGGUGAGUGAUAGUGAGAAUAAGUGAUGGUGAGAUUAGUGAUGGUGAGAUUAGUGAUGGUGAGAUUAGUGAUGGUGAGAUUAGUGAUGGUGAGAUUAGUGAUGGUGAGAUUAGUGAUGGUGAGAUAAGAGAUGGUGAGAUAAGGGAUGGUGAGAUUAGUGAUGGUGAGAUAAGGGAUGGUGAGAUUAGUGAUGGUGAGAUAAGGGAUGGUGAGAUAAGGGAUGGUGAGAUUAGUGAUGGUGAGAUUAGUGAUGGUGAGAUUAGUGAUGGUGAGAUUAGUGAUAGUGAGAAUGAGUGAUAAUAAAUGAUGGUGAAAGGCGUUAGAAAAAAGUGCUUUGAUGUUUUUUUGUGAAUACUAUUUAUUGAUUGGUCAUUUAGGAAUCUGAAACAAAGCCUUGAACAAACAAACAAACAAACAAACAAGGAAUAUAAGACUGACUGACUGACUGAUUGAAUGACUGACUGACUGACUGACUGUUGCGCGUUGAACUAUGACAACACAGCAACACAAACUACCUAACACAUUCCUAACCAGUAGAACACAUAAACUAACAUCUUCUGCAACACAAGAUCGAAUACAAACGGCAACACAACUUCACCACGGAAAAGAAACACCCCCGCAACACCACACAUCAUGAAGAAACACACCGAAGCAACACAAAUAUGACAUGCAACACUCAGGAUAAAGUGGGUAAAGAAACAGUAUAAGGAAAAGAUCGGUAUGCAACACUACCUCAAAAGAAACACAACCACAAAACACAUCCCCGAAACAAGGAGCAACACAAAUAUGACAUGUAACACUCAGGAACAGUUGGGUAGAGGAACAGUAUAAGGAGAAUAUCGAUAUGCAACACUGCCUCAAAAAGAAACACUCCAAGAAAGGCAUACACACAAAACAUAUCAACUGAACAAGAAGCAACACAAAACUGACUCAAUGCAACACUCAGGAAUGCUAUGUGACAACUGGAAUGUUUCUUACACGUAUGUCGGUAUAUAUCCACAACACUACCCACCUUGCAACACAUACAACACAACUUGGUCCUCAUAAAGGUUUUGGCAACACUGGCAAAGCUUUUCAUCCUACUCUCAACACUGCAGUUCAUAAUUACCACAUAUGAAACACUGCCUGAAACACUAUUGCCAACUCUACUAACCUUGCAGCACACACAACACAACUUGGUCCUCAUAAAGGUUUUGGUAACACUGGCAUCUGGCUUUUCAUCCAACAACACCGCAGUUCAUAAUUACCACAUAAGAAACACUGCCUGAAACACUAUCGCCAACACUACUAACCUUACAACACAAACACAACACAAACUGGUCCUCACACAAUGAUAAAACAACAUAAACAUCAACAAAAAUAACAUCGCCUUGCUUCAGUAUUACUUGAAACACACCAUCGUACACUUAAAAAGAAAUAUUGCACAAGUUGUUGAAAAAUAGAAAAAUACAGAUGACCCCCCUUCCUCAAAGAAAACGGGGGAGGCUCCUUGCUCCAGUAAUGUUACUCGUUUAUUCAAUCAAAACUGAACCCCUUUACUAGAGAGAGAGGGUCAGAGGGACAUAUAAAUAGCCCUUCAUCACUUCCAUAUCACUAUCCAAACCACGUCAGUCAGACACCUUAUAUCAUAGCACAUUGUAAAGUCAGAUGAGAAAAGUAAGACUCACAUUAUUAAACGUUUCGGACUCUUGUUACGAACGUUUUGAAGGCUACAGAGGAGGUACGUCGGGUUGUGAUGAGUAUUUUCCCCGUUCAUGGCGCAGAAGUCUUCCAAAACCAAAGCUAGAGUCAGGAUACCACGCAUGGAUACCCCUACAACUUCUACGAGAGCCUUUUUAAAUAGAUGUAUUAUGAUUUCGAAGCGUUUGAUAAUAUGGGCCUCAGGUAAGGGAGGAUAGUUCUAGAUAUAAACCCAAUACAAACUAUAGAAAAGUCACCGUACACUAAACUGCCGCAGAGAAGCCCCGCCCACUCUUCCAUAGAAACGGGAGCUGAUUGGUUGGAUGGAAGGAGCGUGGCGUGAGGAGUCUAUGGUUAGCAUUCUAAGACACUACCAACUCUCACAUCAGUUAUUUCCAAAAGCCAAAAAAGGAGGUAAAAUGCUUCCUCAUGAGUGUUUUUUCAGGUUCGUGGUACUGAGGAAGAGUCAGACUACCACCAGGGCCAUAAAACUACCCCUGGAGAGGCUCACAACUCCUACGAAAGCCUUAUCAAAUGUGCUGAAAUAUUUAAGAAUAUGGCUCUAUGGUACCGUGGAGGGAGACUGAGGGAGGGGGAGGGGCUUGUGGGACAGUUUAGUAUGCACGGUGACGAUAGUUUACCGCACUUAACAUAAUUCUAUACUAGGUCAAGAGAUCAACAUUGAGCAAUGGUCGCGGGGCACGCUAGACGAGGGUUGGCAUCAGGUCACACUGGGUCAAAGUCUUAGGGUAGAAAACUUAUAGAUGGAAGACUGGGAAAAGGAAAGUUAGGUAAGGUUGGGUAAGGAAGAAUAACUGAUCAGUGCAAGGCUAUAGGUCAGGUCAAGCUGGGUCAAGGUCUUAGGAUAGAAUACUUAAGGAAGGAAGACUGGGUUAAGGAAGGCUAUGUAGGUAAGGUUGGGUAGGGGAGAAUGGCAGUAAGGGUAGGUCAGGGCAGGGAUUAGGGUGAGUUUUCAGAGGUCAAGCCAGGUCAAGGAAAGGUCAGAGAGUACAUCAAGGUGCACAGCUCGUCGCUAGGUGCCCCCAAGGCCUCAUUACCUCGGCAUAACCUUAAAAUUACCUUAACAUUUACCUUAAAAACGAUAAACUUUUCAGACUCUCCCAAAUCACACAGGUACGAGAGGUCUUUGUCUCUCUAUAUACAAACAGAGUAGUGGCAUAGGAGAGUUUGGCCAUUCAUCACAUGCGCCAAAUUCAAACUCAUAUCGUGUCAUUCUCUACGUUAUUUCCCCCUCCCGUCCUCUACGUCAGUUUGCAGUGCAGUGUUUUCAGAGUACGGGUCGCAACACACUCCCACUUCCUCGCAGAUACAUGAGUCUAUACCAAGCACUGUCAGGAGGCUUGCAGAUUGAUCACAAAGGUAAAACUACUGCAAGCAUAGUCACAGCAUAUACCGCAAUUAUAAUCUUCACUGUUCUCAUCUGCCAAUUCGCUAUCAGUCUCCUGUAUCUAAAGACUAAACACUAGAUGGAAGUUGAGGCAAUAUUCAGCUCCACAUAUUCCUUAAAACUACAAAGUCACGAUCCAUCAGUUAUAUUCUUCCCUGUUCUCAUCUGCCAAUUCUCUAUAAGUCUCCUGUAUCUGAAGACUAAACACUAAAUGGAAGUUGUGGCAAAAUUCAGCUCCAUAUAUUCCUUAAAACUACAGUCACGAUCCAUCGACGAGGAAAAUAACGAGAGGUUGACAACUACUCUAAGCACUGUCCAUCGUCCCACCACUCCGGGACUUAGAAAUAACAUGACUCACAAGUAUUUUUCGACUAGUCUCAUAUUCUUAGCCUCAAACAGACUAGGCAAGGAUUCACUAACUAAGGACACGCACGGAAUUCAAGACCUUUUAGCUGGAAUGGUUAGUAGAGAAUCACUUUGAGCAGAGAUCGGGGUUGGCAUUAUAAGACACUUCCGUUUCUCACAUCAACAAUUUCUAAAGGUUAAAGAGGGGGUCAGUCGGGUUCUAAUGAGUGUUUCCUUAGGUUCCCGGUACAGAGGAAGGGUCAAACUAACACCAGGGUCAUAAAACUACUCCUGGAAAUGCCCACAACUCCUACGAAAGCUUUGUCAAAUAUGUGUUCUUGGGCGCCGAAAUAUCUUAUAAUACGUUUUAUAAUGCAAGGAUGACUUGGGAAAAAGGCCACAGCAAGAAGGGUACUUAUUGGACACUUGAGCAAGGGGAAGACAUGGGCAUUCAUAGAGGCACGUAGUCUUCGAGGGAAUGCAGGAACUUUACAUGACGGGAGUACCAAGGCGCCUCUCCUUCCGAAACUGACCUCUCUUCUGGUCGUUCAUUCUUUAUUUUGAGGGAGCAGCGUUAGUCGGCCUCUUUAUUUAUUGUUUUUUCAUUUUUCCCUUGAGCUGCUUCCUUGACUGUAUAAAAAGGAAGGCGGAAUUCAUAAGGACACUCGAGCUCUUUAAAAACCGCAAGACCGCAAACGCCAAUGUCUGAAAAGUGAAUCAACGUUUCUUAAAGUUCGAUUCCUUUCUAUACGACCUAAUAGAGUUGUGGAUUUAGUUAGGCGAUCAUAAUGGCUUAAGUCACAACGCCACAAGAUAGAAAACACUUGAGAGUAGCACCGAUUUCUGGCACGAUACUGUUUUGGCAAUAUUGGCGCUCACGACCUCGUCAUUCUAGAGGCAUCAGUCGGGGUUUGAUCGAAAAGGAAGGUGACUCAGCGAAGAUUGACGCCCUUGUUGCUACACUAACUCUCGAUAUAAAGGCGGAAGGUUCAGAGAAAAGAAGGAGUCGUAGAAGAAACUAUAGCAAGAACAGAUUCAUUUGAAGAAGAAGGAUUCGUACUGAGUGUUGAUCGAGAUGGAUGUAGCCAAGAACAGAUUGACGCACUUUCUAUGUUGCUACACCACCUCGCUAUGGCUCAGAAUGGAAGCUUCAAAAGAGAGAGGAGGAGGAGUCGUGGGGGAAACUAUUGCAAGAGAAGGUUCAGGAGGAGUCCGUAUCAAGGGGAGUGUAGUGUAUAACCAAGAAUAGACUGGAGUCCUUCCCCUGUUGCAAAACCAUCUCAGUAUAGCCGAGAAAGGGAUUCAAAAGAGAGAGAGAGAAAAAGGAAUCGUGGAAGAAACCAUUGGAAGAGAAAGUUCAGGGAGAGUUCGAAUCGAGAUGGAUGUAGCCAAGAACAGA